rnacentral:rRNA from 1 species
CUCAGAACGAACGCUGGCGGCGCGUCUUAAGCAUGCAAGUCGAGCGGCAAGGAAGAGCAAUCUUCCCUAGAGCGGCGGACUGGUGAGUAACGCGUGGAUGAUCUACCUAUAGGUUGGGGAUAGUCGUUAGAAAUAGCGGGUAAUACCGGAUGUGGUUAUUUGGUUAUGACUGGAUAAAGAAAGGCGCUAUGGCGCUGCCUGUAGAUGAGUCCGCGUUCCAUUAGCUAGUUGGUGAGGUAAAGGCCCACCAAGGCGAUGAUGGGUAGCCGGCCUGAGAGGGUGAACGGCCACACUGGGACUGAGAUACGGCCCAGACUCCUACGGGAGGCAGCAGCUAAGAAUAUUCCGCAAUGGACGAAAGUCUGACGGAGCGACGCCGCGUGGAUGACGAAGGCCGAAAGGUUGUAAAAUCCUUUUGUGGAUGAAGAAUAAGUGUGGGAGGGAAUGCCCGCAUGAUGACGUUAGUCCAUGAAUAAGCCCCGGCUAAUUACGUGCCAGCAGCCGCGGUAACACGUAAGGGGCGAGCGUUGUUCGGAAUUAUUGGGCGUAAAGGGCGCGUAGGCGGUUACGCAAGUCUGGCGUGAAAGGCGGAAGCUUAACUUCCGGAUUGCGUUGGAAACUGUGGAACUAGAGUCAUGGAGGGGGAGUUGGAAUUCCUGGUGUAGGGGUGAAAUCUGUAGAUAUCAGGAAGAACACCGGUGGCGAAGGCGAACUUCCAGCCGAUGACUGACGCUGAGGCGCGAAAGUGCGGGGAGCAAACAGGAUUAGAUACCCUGGUAGUCCGCACUAUAAACGAUGUACACUAGGUGUUGGACCGAGCGGUUCAGUGCCGAAGCGAACGUGAUAAGUGUACCGCCUGGGGAGUAUGCCCGCAAGGGUGAAACUCAAAGGAACGA